UUAGAUGAUGAAAAAAAUUUUUACACAGACCUGUACUGAACUUUUCAAGUUUUGCAGAUAAAAACUAUUAUUGCCUUUUAUUUCUGACA
rnacentral:snoRNA from 1 species